rnacentral:rRNA from 1 species
UACAGAGGUCUCAAGCGUUGUUCGGAUUCAUUGGGCGUAAAGGGUGCGUAGGUGGCGCUGUAAGUCGGGUGUGAAAUUUCGGAGCUUAACUCCGAAACUGCAUUCGAUACUGCGGUGCUUGAGGACUGGAGAGGAGACUGGAAUUCAUGGUGUAGCAGUGAAAUGCGCAGAUAUCAGGAGGAACACCGGUGGCGAAGGCGGGUCUCUGGGCCGGAACUGACGCUGAGGAGCGAAAGCGUGGGGAGCGAACAGG